rnacentral:rRNA from 1 species
AGAGUUUGAUCCUGGCUCAGGGCUAACGCUGGCGGCGUGUCUUAGCCAUGCAAGUCGAGCGGUCCUAUGGGGCGACCUAUAGGAUAGCGGCGGACGGCGGAGUAACACGUAGCUAACCUACCCUCCGGACGGGGAUAACCAUUCGAAAGGGUGGCUAAUACCCGAUGGAGUCAUCCGCAAGGGUGAUGAAAGGUGGGCCUCUGUUUACAAGCUCAUGCCGGGGGAGGGGGCUGCGGCCUAUCAGGUAGUUGGUGGGGUAAAGGCCCACCAAGCCUAUGACGGGUAGCCGGCCUGAGAGGGUGACCGGCCCGAGGGACACUGAGACACGGGUCCCACUCCUACGGGAGGCAGCAGGCUAGAAAUUUGGGCAAUGGGGGAAACCCUGACCCAGCGACGCCGCGUGCAGGAAGGAGCCCUUCGGGGUGUAAACUGCUGUCGUGCGGGGCGAAGGGUUUGUAGGCGAAUAGUCUAUAGACUUGACGGUACCGCAGGAGGAAGCCCAGGCUAACCUCGUGCCAGCAGCCGCGGUAAUACGGGGUGGGCGAGCGUUGCCCGGAAUUACUGGGUUUAAAGGGGGUGUAGGCGGUCUGGAUAGUCAGGUGUGUAAUCCAAUCGCUCAACGAUUGGACUGCAUCUGAUACUUUCAGGCUAGAGGGCGGUAGAGGAGAGCGGAACUCCCGGUGUAGCGGUGAAAUGCGUAGACAUCGGGAGGAACGCCGGUGGCGAAGGCGGCUCUCUGGGCCGUUCCUGACGCUGAGGCCCGAAAGCUGGGGGAGCGAAAGGGAUUAGAUACCCCUGUAGUCCCAGCCGUAAACGAUGGGCACUAUGUGUGCCUCUAUAUAGGUGUGUGCCGACGGGAACCAUUAAGUGCCCCACCUGGGGAGUCGUCCCUCAGGUUGAACUCAAAUGAUUGACGG